rnacentral:rRNA from 1 species
CCUACGGGUGGCAGCAGUGAGGAAUAUUGGUCAAUGGGAGAGAUCCUGAACCAGCCAAGCCGCGUGAGGGAAGACGGCCCUCUGGGUUGUCAACCUCUUUUGUCGGAGAACAAAACCCGGGAAGUGUCCCGGACUGCGUGUAUCCGAAGAAAGAGCAUCGGCUAAAUCCGUGCCAGCAGCCGCGGUAAUACGGAGGAUGCGAGCGUUAUCCGGAUUUAUUGGGGUAAAGGGGUUCGUAGGCGGUCCGUUUAGUCAGCGGUAAAAUGUCGGGGCUAAACCCCGUCGAGCCGUUGAAACUGGCAGACUUGAGUUGGCGAGAGGUACGCGGAAUGCGCGGUGGAGCGGUGAAAUGCAUAGAUAUCGCGAGGAACUCCGAUUGCGAAGGCAGCGUACCGGCGCCAGACUGACGCUGAGGCACGAAAGCGUGGGGAUCGAACAGGAUUAGAUACCCCAGUAGUC